AACUUUUAGCAAUGGAUCACUUGGCUCUCGCAUCGUUGAAGAACGCAGCGAAAUGCGAUAAGUAAUGUGAAUUGCAGAAUUCAGUGAAUCAUCGAAUCUUUGAACGCACCUUGCACCCUUUGGCAUUCCGAAGGGUAUGCUCGUUUGAGUGUCAUUGUACUCUCACACUCCCGAUGCUUUUGGAUUGGGAGUGGUGGACUUGGGUGUUGCUGCUUUACUGUGGCUCACCUCAAAUGGAGUAGUGCAACUCUUGGUUGGACAUAGUACGGCGUGAUAAGUGUCUUCGCCGGCGCCUCAUUAGAGGGUGGCCGAUCGGGAGCUCUGUGCUUCAAACCGUCUUCGGACAACAUCUGACAACUUGACCUCAAAUCGAGUAGGACUACCCGCUGAACUUAAGCAUAUCAAUAAGCGGAGGCU
rnacentral:misc_RNA from 1 species